rnacentral:rRNA from 1 species
CCCGAUGGCUGUAUGCUCUCACGAGCGAGGAGCCGUCGCCUUGGUUAGUUGCUUCUUUGCUGACGAGCGGCGGUCGGAUGAGUAAUGCUUGGGAACAUGCCUUGAGGUGGGGGACAACAGUUGGAAACGACUGCUAAUACCGCAUAAUGUCUACGGACCAAAGGGGGCUUCGGCUCUCGCCUUUAGAUUGGCCCAAGUGGGAUUAGCUAGUUGGUGAGGUAAUGGCUCACCAAGGCGACGAUCCCUAGCUGGUUUGAGAGGAUGAUCAGCCACACUGGGACUGAGACACGGCCCAGACUCCUACGGGAGGCAGCAGUGGGGAAUAUUGCACAAUGGGCGCAAGCCUGAUGCAGCCAUGCCGCGUGUGUGAAGAAGGCCUUCGGGUUGUAAAGCACUUUCAGUCAGGAGGAAAGGUUAGUAGUUAAUACCUGCUAGCUGUGACGUUACUGACAGAAGAAGCACCGGCUAACUCCGUGCCAGCAGCCGCGGUAAUACGGAGGGUGCGAGCGUUAAUCGGAAUUACUGGGCGUAAAGCGUACGCAGGCGGUUUGUUAAGCGAGAUGUGAAAGCCCCGGGCUCAACCUGGGAACUGCAUUUCGAACUGGCAAACUAGAGUGUGAUAGAGGGUGGUAGAAUUUCAGGUGUAGCGGUGAAAUGCGUAGAGAUCUGAAGGAAUACCGAUGGCGAAGGCAGCCACCUGGGUCAACACUGACGCUCAUGUACGAAAGCGUGGGGAGCAAACGGGAUUAGAUACCCCGGUAGUCCACGCCGUAAACGAUGUCUACUAGAAGCUCGGAGCCUCGGUUCUGUUUUUCAAAGCUAACGCAUUAAGUAGACCGCCUGGGGAGUACGGCCGCAAGGUUAAAACUCAAAUGAAUUGACGGGGGCCCGCACAAGCGGUGGAGCAUGUGGUUUAAUUCGAUGCAACGCGAGAACCUUACCUACACUUGACAUACAGAGAACUUACCAGAGAUGGUUUGGUGCCUUCGGGAACUCUGAUACAGGUGCUGCAUGGCUGUCGUCAGCUCGUGUUGUGAGAUGUUGGGUUAAGUUCUGCA